GAUGAACGCUGGCGGCGUGCCUAAUACAUGCAAGUCGAGCGAACAGACGAGGAGCUUGCUCCUCUGACGUUAGCGGUGGACGGGUGAGUAACACGUGAAUAACCUACCCUUGACUCUGGGAUAACUGCUAGAAAUGGUAGCUAAUACCGGAUACGACCCUCGGUGGCAUCACCAGGGGGUGGAAAGAAUUUCGGUCAAGGAUGGACUCGCGGCCUAUCAGCUAGUUGGUGAGGUAACGGCUCACCAAGGCGACGACGGGUAGCCGGCCUGAGAGGGUGACCGGCCACGCUGGGACUGAGACACGGCCUAGACUCCUACGGGAGGCAGCAGUGGGGAAUAUUGCACAAUGGGCGCAAGCCUGAUGCAGCAACGCCGCGUGAGGGAUGACGGCCUUCGGGUUGUAAACCUCUUUUAGUAGGGAAGAAGCGAAAGUGACGGUACCUGCAGAAAAAGCACCGGCUAACUACGUGCCAGCCGCCGCAGUAA
rnacentral:rRNA from 1 species